AAAUAGAUGUCGUGGGUCGGAUCCUGAGCUGGCGUAAACGAAGAGAGUUCCACAGUCGGAAAUGGAAUCGAUGGGAUAGUGCCAGCUGCGGAUGGCUCCCUUUCUAGGAGACAAACCAUUCAGCAGGUCCCUCAGCAUCCUCUGCAGCUCAGCAGAGCGGAUCUCCCUAAGAGGCUUUCAGAUGCUUUAUCUUCCUGGGAAUCACAAUAAACCAGGCAUGUGUGAACCAAGCCCAGACUAUCAGGUGGAAGAAUCGAUGGCUUUUCCUUUGGCUGCUUGUGCAGGAAGAAGACAGCUGUGGUCUUUACAAGCCCUUGACAAGUGAUUUUUCCAACAAUCGGAUGGGAGAACGUGCUCUGUUACGUUUAUAAUUGACAAUAUACCACCGUUGAAGUAUGCCUGUCAGUUCUGCAGGUAGGUAAAAUUAUAUCAUAUAGAUAUUUUAUAACAGUUUUCACAGGCAGCAUCUGAAACCACGUCCUCCCCCCAGCAGAUGAAAGGUUAGAGGAAAGCACGUGUCAGCAGAAUCUAGCCUUCGGUCUCAG
rnacentral:lncRNA from 1 species